GUGAAUUCCAAAGGCAUAAGUUGAGCAGCGGCGUUAACCCAACAGAACUGAAGUCAGCGGACUAUAAAUAUUGUUCCCGUCUCUGGUUUCGCUCACUCUAGUGACCUCGGAUACCCUCAGAGUCUGAUUCCUUCCAUUUGGAAAACGUAAAUAGUUGUCACUCCUUUUUUCUCCCCAUUCUUUGGAAAAUGCCAUUACAAGUAUUCAGUGUCCUGUAUGUGAAGAGUCUUGGUCUUUUUUUAACAACCAAAUGUGACCUUGAUCUCUUUGAGCCCACCUGAGUGCCCAGGCUGAAAUGCUUAGCUUUAUCACAGCAGGCAACCUACGGACGACUGAGCAGGGCAUGGUGUUUUCUUUGGUUCCUGGCAUGUGUAUGCAUGCCAGCCUGUUUCUCCGGUUUUCCUGCCCACUUAAAUGAACAAGAGCAGCCAGGAAGCCCAAAGAGACAUCUGAACACGUAUGGUCUGGCCCCCAAACUCAAAGGCAACACCUCAAGCCACACUGUGCAGUUUGCAGGAUCCUCGUUCCCUGACCACAGAUGGAAUCUGGGCCCCCUGCAGUGUGGAGCCCUAACCACUGCAUUGCCAGGGAAUCCCUGUAUCCAGUCUUAGAGGGUGGCUUAGACUAUGUUGAAAAGGUGAGGGUGAGUCAGGGAAGCUAUGGGUUAUACCAUCUUCAGUGAAAUGGACAUGUCUGCUUUCAGGGACGGUAUUAGGUGAAUAGACUAAUCCAAGUUAAUCCAUCCAAAGUCACUUCCCUGCUAUAGACUUUAUGAGGCAAAGGCAGCCCUAAGCCAUCAAUGGAUAUGGAGAUAAUUUAGAAUUCAGUAAGGAGGGACUAGUGAAGGGAUGCCCUUGGCAGAGCUUUAGUUGUUUUCAAACCCAAUAUUAAAUGGAUAAGAGUGCUAUGAAGAGUAGAGGAAACAGCUACAUUGUUCAGCAUACACACUACUACAACAUUUUAUUGGUUAAUAAUACCCUGGUUAAGGUCAUGAUUAAGAAGGACCAAGCCAAAACAGAAAUUGUGUUUAAGAAAAAAGAUAGUUAUAUAUAUUUAAUUGAGUGCACAAAAUAAAGUUUAAAAAUCUGAA